CCCAGACUCCUACGGGAGGCAGCAGUGGGGGAUAUUGCACAAUGGGGGAAACCCUGAUGCAGCGACGCCGCGUGAGUGAAGAAGUAUUUCGGUAUGUAAAGCUCUAUCAGCAGGGAAGAAAAAAGACGGUACCUGACUAAGAAGCCCCGGCUAACUGCGUGCCAGCAGCCGCGGUAAUACGUAGGGGGCAAGCGUUAUCCGGAUUUACUGGGUGUAAAGGGAGCGUAGACGGCAAUACAAGUCGGAAGUGAAAUACCCGGGCUUAACCUGGGAACUGCUUUGGAAACUGUAUGGCUGGAGUGCUGGAGAGGUAAGCGGAAUUCCUAGUGUAGCGGUGAAAUGCGUAGAUAUUAGGAGGAACACCAGUGGCGAAGGCGGCUUACUGGACAGUAACUGACGUUGAGGCUCGAAAGCGUGGGGAGCAAACAGGAUUAGAUACCCUGGUAA
rnacentral:rRNA from 1 species